UCUCCAUGUAGCGCUUCCACGCCACCUC
rnacentral:sRNA from 1 species